rnacentral:rRNA from 1 species
GACGAACGCUGGCGGCGUGCUUAACACAUGCAAGUCGAACGGAAAGGCCCUGCUUGUUUGGGGUGCGCGAGUGGCGAACGGGUGAGUAACACGUGAGUAACCUGCCCUGGACGUUGGGAUAACUUCAGGAAACUUGGGCUAAUACCGGAUAUGAGCUCCUGCGGCAUGGUGGUGGGGGGAAAGUGUCGGCGGUUGGGGAUGGACUCGCGGCUUAUAAGCUUGUUGGUGGGGUAGUGGCUUACCAAGGCUUGGACGGGUAGCCGGCCUGUGAGGGUGACCGGGGACAUUGGGACUGCGAUACGCACCAGAGGGGUACGGGAGGCAGCAGUGGGGAAUCUUGCCCAAUGGGCGGAAGCGUGAUGCAGAAACGCCGGGUGCGGGAUGACGGUCUUCGCGUUGUAAACAGCCUUCGCCUGUGACGAAGCGUGCGUGACGGUAAUGGGUAAAGAAGCACCGGCUAACUACGUG